GGAUGUGAGGGCGAUCUGGCUGCGACAUCUGUCACCCCAUUGAUCGCCAGGGUUGAUUCGGCUGAUCUGGCUGGCUAGGCGGGUGUCCCCUUCCUCCCUCACCGCUCCAUGUGCAUCCCUCCCGAAGCUGCGUGCUCGGUGGAAGAGGACGACCAUCCCAGAUAGGAGGAGUGUACCAUUCUUCGGUCAAGGGUAUACGAUAGCUGCACUUCCCUGCUAGAACCUCCAAACAAGCUCCAGAAAGCAAUUUCUUGUCCCGUGACUCAUGUGAUCUCUACUUUUGGGGACUUUAUAUCUUUACAGGAGCAGGAAGAUUCAGAUCCGGAACAUUCC